CAACCCCUAAGCAUAGCUUAUUGUUGGGAGGCUGCGGUAAAACGCACCUCCUCAAAGUCAGUGGCGGAGAGACAGUGUCCUCUGAGCGUAGUAAUAUUUUUCUCGCUUUUGUUAGGUGCUGCCCCCCUUGCCAUAAAACACCCAAUUUUUAAU
rnacentral:misc_RNA from 1 species